GACGAACGCUGGCGGCGUGCCUAAUACAUGCAAGUAGAACGCUGAAGAGAGGAGCUUGCUCUUCUUGGAUGAGUUGCGAACGGGCGAGUAACGCGUAGGUAACCUGCCUUGUGGCGGGGGAUAACUAUUGGAAACGAUAGCUAAUACCGCAUAACAAUGGAUGACACAUGUCAUUUAUUUGAAAGGGGCAAUUGCUCCACUACAAGAUGGACCUGCGUUGUAUUAGCUAGUAGGUGAGGUAAUGGCUCACCUAGGCGACGAUACAUAGCCGACCUGAGAGGGUGAUCGGCCACACUGGGACUGAGACACGGCCCAGACUCCUACGGGAGGCAGCAGUAGGGAAUCUUCGGCAAUGGGGGCAACCCUGACCGAGCAACGCCGCGUGAGUGAAGAAGGUUUUCGGAUCGUAAAGCUCUGUUGUAAGUCAAGAACGGGUGUGAGAGUGGAAAGUUCACACUGUGACGGUAGCUUACCAGAAAGGGACGGCUAACUACGUG
rnacentral:rRNA from 1 species